rnacentral:rRNA from 1 species
CUAAUGUGACCUCAAAUCAGGUAGGACUACCCGCUGAACUUAAGCAUAUCAAUAAGCGGAGGAGAAGAACUAACAAGGAUUCCCCUAGUAACUGCGAGUGAAGCGGGAUAAGCUCAAAUUUAAAAUCUGUCAGUCUCUGGCUGUCCGAGUUGUAAUCUAGAGAAGUGCUAUCCGCGCUGGACCGUGUACAAGUCUCCUGGAAUGGAGCGUCAUAGAGGGUGAGAAUCCCGUCUUUGACACGGACUGCCAGGGCUUUUGUGAUGUGCUCUCAAAGAGUCGAGUUGUUUGGGAAUGCAGCUCAAAAUGGGUGGUAAAUUCCAUCUAAAGCUAAAUAUUGGCGAGAGACCGAUAGCGAACAAGUACCGUGAGGGAAAGAUGAAAAGAACUUUGGAAAGAGAGUUAAACAGUACGUGAAAUUGCUGAAAGGGAAACGCUUGAAGUCAGUCGCGUUGUCCAGGGAUCAACCUUGCUUUUGCCAGGUGCAUUUCCUGUUCAAUGGGUCAGUAUCAAUUUUGAUCAUUGGAAAAAGAUUAGGGGAAUGUGGCAUCUUUGGAUGUGUUAUAGCCCUUGGUUGCAUACAAUGGUUGGAAUUGAGGAACUCAGCAUGCCGCAAGGCCGGGUUUUAAACCACGUACAUGCUUAGGAUACUGGCAAAAUGGCUUUAAUCGACCCGCU